rnacentral:misc_RNA from 1 species
UCAACCCUCAAGCAUUGCUUGGUGUUGGGGCACUGCUUUCUACCCGAGAGCAGGCCCUGAAAUCUAGUGGCGAGCUCGCCAGGACCCCGAGCGCAGUAGUUAAACCCUCGCUCCGGAAGGCCCUGGCGGUGCCCUGCCGUUAAACCCCCAACUCUUGAAAAUUUUGACCUUUGGAUUCAAGGUAGGAA